UCUGGAGCGCGACAACCUCGGGAAACUGAGGCUAAUCGCGCAUACCGCUCUCACGCUGGAAGUUGCGGAGAGCUCGAAAUGCCCCGGCGCCAGAGGAUGUGGCUGCGGCCGAUUAGGUAGACGGUGGGGUAACGGCCCACCGUGCCAGUAAUCGGUACGGGUUGUGAGAGCAAGAGCCCGGAGACGGUAUCUGAGACAAGAUACCGGGCCCUACGGGGCGCAGCAGGCGCGAAACCUUUACACUGCACGCCAGUGCGAUAAGGGGACUCCAAGUGCGAGGGCAUAACGUCCUCGCUUUUCGUGACCGUAAGGUGGUCACAGAAUAAAGGCUGGGCAAGACCGGUGCCAGCCGCCGCGGUAAUACCGGCAGCCUGAGUGAUGGCCGCUCUUAUUGGGCCUAAAGCGUCCGUAGCUGGCCGCGCAAGUCCAUCGGGAAAUCUGUCCGCUUAACGGACAGGCGUCCGGUGGAAACUGUGCGGCUUGGGACCGGAAGACCAGAGGGGUACGUCCGGGGUAGGAGUGAAAUCCUGUAAUCCUGGACGGACCACCGGUGGCGAAAGCGCCUCUGGAAGACGGAUCCGACGGUGAGGGACGAAAGCUCGGGUCACGAACCGGAUUAGAUACCCGGGUAGUCCGAGCUGUAAACGAUGUCUGCUAGGUGUGGCACAGGCUACGAGCCUGUGCUGUGCCGUAGGGAAGCCGUGAAGCAGACCGCCUGGGAAGUACGUCCGCAAGGAUGAAACUUAAAGGAAUUGGCGGGGGAGCAC
rnacentral:rRNA from 1 species